UACGUAGGGUGCAAGCGUUGUCCGGAAUUAUUGGGCGUAAAGAGCUCGUAGGCGGUCUGUCGCGUCUGCUGUGAAAACCCAGGGCUUAACCCUGGGCCUGCAGUGGGUACGGGCAGACUAGAGUGCGGUAGGGGAGAUUGGAAUUCCUGGUGUAGCGGUGGAAUGCGCAGAUAUCAGGAGGAACACCGAUGGCGAAGGCAGAUCUCUGGGCCGUAACUGACGCUGAGGAGCGAAAGCAUGGGGAGCGAACAGG
rnacentral:rRNA from 1 species